AGGUCUGUAGCUCAGUGGUUAGAGCACCGUCUUGAUAAGCGGGGUCGUAGGUUCAAGUCCUACCAGACCCACCA
rnacentral:tRNA from 1 species